rnacentral:rRNA from 1 species
GUAACAAGGUCUCCGUAGGUGAACCUGCGGAGGGAUCAUUACUGAGUGAGGGCCUUCGGGCUCGACCUCCAACCCUUUGUGAACACAACUUGUUGCUUCGGGGGCGACCCUGCCGUUUCGACGGCGAGCGCCCCCGGAGGCCUUCAAACACUGCAUCUUUGCGUCGGAGUUUAAGUAAAUUAAACAAAACUUUCAACAACGGAUCUCUUGGUUCUGGCAUCGAUGAAGAACGCAGCGAAAUGCGAUAAGUAAUGUGAAUUGCAGAAUUCAGUGAAUCAUCGAAUCUUUGAACGCACAUUGCGCCCCUUGGUAUUCCGAGGGGCAUGCCUGUUCGAGCGUCAUUUCACCACUCAAGCCUCGCUUGGUAUUGGGCGCCGCGGUGUUCCGCGCGCCUCAAAGUCUCCGGCUGAGCCUGUCCGUCGUCUCUAAGCGUUGUGAUUUCAUUAAUCGCUUCGGAGCGCGGGCGGUCGCGGCCGUUAAAUCUUUCACAAGGUUGACCUCGGAUCAGGUAGGGAUACCCGCUGAACUUAAGCAUAUC